CUAACGAUUAUUCAUGUAUAAUUUGUUUUCUCCUCUCCUUCACUUCUUCCUGGAUUUCCACAUUUAGGCCUGAUGGUGACAAAGGUAUUAAGAAAGUUAGUUCUCAGAAAGUUGAAGGCCAAUGACGACUCUGGAGGCCACACAAUUCCCUUUAAACUCAGUUAUCUCACAACUGAAUGCUCUGAUAACCUGCGGAGACCAGCAGACACAGUGUGAUUAGUGAGCCAGAAAAGGAGGAAACCCCAGAGCAGCCAUCAGCCGUCUUCAUUUCUCUGCAAUCAGCCCCUUCGAAUCCCUGAUAACAGUGACAGGAGAAUCUCUCCGCCAGCACUGCUAGAUCCCAAGUUGAUGGGUGUGAAAAGAGAGGAACAGACUCCAAUUUAGAAAUCAUGUCAGAGUUGCUGUCCUCUGGCCACCUUUCAGUUUCCUGACCAGGGAAUGAACCUGCGCCCUCUGCAAUGGAAGUGUGGCGUCUUAACCACUGGACCACCAGGGAAGUCCCAUACCUGACACUUUUAUA